rnacentral:ncRNA from 1 species
ACUAUGACUCUCUUAAGGUAUACAGAUGCCUCAUCAUCUAAUUAGUGACGUGCAUGAAUGGAUUAAUGAGAUUCCCACUGUCCCAAGCUACUAUCUAGAGAAACCAAAACCAAGGGAAUGAGAUUGGAAAAAUUACCGGGGAAAGACGACCCUGUUGAGCUUGACUCUAGUCCAACUUUGUGAAAUGACUUGAGAGGUGUAGAAUAAGUGGUAUUUUUUUUCAACGCAAGUGAAAUAUCACUAAUUUUAACGUCAUUUUACUUAUUUCAUGGGGUAGAGAUGAGGCAUUGCACAUAUGUUAAAAGAUAAUGAACAUUUCCUCAAAGUGUUGUCUUUGAUGGAAAUGGUCAAAAGAUCCUCCUUCACACACUUGAUUGCAAUGAGUUUAGGAAACCAAAGAGGAUCAUUGUUUUUAAGGAUGAAUAAAAUUCCUAUAACAAUCCCUAUGUCUUUAACCAACAUCCCUCUAUAAGUAUCUAUGUUAUGGUUUCUCCUUGUAAAUUGGUGACUUGAGU